AUUGAACGCUGGCGGCAGGCCUAACACAUGCAAGUCGAACGAGUGGCGGACGGGUGAGUAAUGUCUGGGAAACUGCCUGAUGGAGGGGGAUAACUACUGGAAACGGUAGCUAAUACCGCAUACCAUCGGAUGUGCCCACAUGGGAUUAGCUAGUAGGUGGGGUAACGGAUUACCUAGGCGACGAUCCCUAGCUGGUCUGAGAGUAUGACAAGCCACACUGGAACUGAGACACGGUCCAGACUCCUACGGGAGGCAGCAGUGGGGAAUAUUGCACAAUGGGCGAAAGCCUGAUGCAGCCAUGCCGCGUGUAUGAAGAAGGCCUUCGGGUUGUAAAGUACUUUCGGCGGGGAGGCGUUACCCGCAGAAGAAGCACCGGCUAACUCCGUGCCAGCAGCCGCGGUAAUAC
rnacentral:rRNA from 1 species